rnacentral:rRNA from 1 species
UACGUAGGGGGCAAGCGUUGUCCGGAAUCAUUGGGCGUAAAGCGCGCGUAGGCGGCCCGGUAAGUCCGCUCUGAAAGUCCAGGGCUCAACCCUGGAAAGCGGGUGGAUACUGCCGGGCUAGAAUCCGGAAGAGGCGAGUGGAAUUCCUGGUGUAGCGGUGAAAUGCGCAGAUAUCAGGAGGAACACCGGUGGCGAAGGCGGGUCUCUGGGCAACAACUGACGCUGAGGAGCGAAAGCGUGGGGAGCGAACAGG